rnacentral:rRNA from 1 species
AAAUUUGAAACUGGUACUUUCAGUGCCCGAGUUGUAAUUUGUAGAAUUUGUCUUUGAUUAGGUCCUUGUAUAUGUUCCUUGGAACAGGACGUCAUAGAGGGUGAGAAUCCCGUUUGGCGAGGAUACCUUUUCUCUGUAAGACUUUUUCGAAGAGUCGAGUUGUUUGGGAAUGCAGCUCAAAGUGGGUGGUAAAUUCCAUCUAAAGCUAAAUAUUGGCGAGAGACCGAUAGCGAACAAGUACAGUGAUGGAAAGAUGAAAAGAACUUUGAAAAGAGAGUGAAAAAGUACGUGAAAUUGUUGAAAGGGAAGGGCAUUUGAUCAGACAUGGUGUUUUUUGCAUGCACUCGCCUCUCGUGGGCUUGGGCCUCUCAAAAAUUUCACUGGGCCAACAUCAAUUCUGGCAGCAGGAUAAAUCAUUAAGAAUGUAGCUACUUCGGUAGUGUUAUAGCUUUUUGGAAUACUGUUAGCCGGGAUUGAGGACUGCGCUUCGGCAAGGAUGUUGGCAUAAUGGUUAAAUGCCG